AACGUAGGAGACAAACGUUAUCCGGAGUUACUGGGCGUAAAGGGCGUGUAGGCGGUCUGUUAAGUCUGGCGUGAAAGCUCUCGGCUAAACCGGGAGAGGUCGUUGGAUACUGGCAGACUAGAGGACGGUAGAGGCGUGUGGAAUUCCGGGUGUAGUGGUGAAAUGCGCAGAUAUCGGGAGGAACACCAAUGGCGAAGGCAGCUCGCUGGGACGGUACUGACGCUGAGACGCGAAAGCGUGGGGAGCAAACAGG
rnacentral:rRNA from 1 species